UGGAUGUGAGUGAAGAACUCCAUCAUAUUCAAUCAUUGAUAGCCACCCUUGGGUUGAAGGAACAAUCAAGUAAGGGAAAAGGAAUAGCUGUUGAGCCAGAAAGUUCACCACCAAUUUUUGUUCCCACGUCUUCUGAUUACGAUCCUGGAAACUCUACCUGUUUAACUCCAACCAAAAGGAUUAGUUGUCAA